GUUCCUGAAUCGGACCUCCGUGUGAUAACUUAUGACCAUUUGAAUUUCUCGAGAGAUUUCGUUGUUCAAUUUCGAGCGUCUCGAUAUAUGACGUACUUGAAUCGGACCUCCGUGUGAAAAGUUAUGACCAUUUGAAUUUCUCGAGAUCUUCCGUGGUUCAAUUUCGGGCGUCUCCAUAUGUGAUGUGCUAGAAUCGGACCUCCGUGUGAAAAG
rnacentral:lncRNA from 1 species